rfam:Mesorhizobium alhagi CCNWXJ12-2 contig32, whole genome shotgun sequence.
CAGGCAUGCUGGAGUCCCCGCCAGCGGCGCCUGGGUCGUUGAGACCCGACACCGGACGGGGCAAAG